CAUUCUGAAUGAUGUUACUCAGCUAAACACAGAUAUGGAAUUACCAAGACUAUAAAAUCAGCCAGCAAAGCUCACCAUUGUUUUCUCCAGUAUUUGCAAUGGCACAAGCCAUUAAAUAGUCAAAAACAUGAUGCUAUAAAGUAGGGGCUAGAGACUUUAUACUUUCAAGGUUAGUUGUUCUGGCAGAAAAAAAAAAGACUUAAGAAUCAGAUUCAAAGGGGGGGGGAAA